rnacentral:rRNA from 1 species
AGCGAACGUUUGCGGCGGGCUUAACACUUGCAAGUCGAACGGGCUGUUCCUUCGGGGGCAGUCAGUGGCGCACGGGUGCGUAACACGUAGGUAAUCAACCCUCUGGUUGGGGAUAACACUUCGAAAGGAGUGCUAAUACCCGGUAUGGCGCAGCGGUCUUCGGAUCGCGGCGAGAAAGACCCGCAAGGGUUGCCAGAGGACGAGCCUGCGGCCCAUCAGCUAGUUGGCGAGGUAACGGCUCACCAAGGCGAAGACGGGUAGCUGGUCUGAGAGGAUGAUCAGCCACACUGGAACUGAGACACGGUCCAGACUCCUACGGGAGGCAGCAGUCCGGGGAAUAUUGCGCAAUGGGCGAAGACCUGACGCAGCCACGCCGCGUGAGCGAUGAAGGCCUCGGUCGUAA